CACUGCUCCUUUUACUACUGCUAUGGUUGACAGGAGAAGCUCUUCCCCCCGCUGAUUGGAAGUCUAUUGCACGAGCUUGUUUAAAUGGUGGAGAUUAUUUAAUAUGGAAGUUUGAUUUUUAUGAACGGGCUGCUGAACAAGCAGAAAAGAAUGCUGCCCAUAAUAUUCCAGUUGAUUAUCAUAUGCUGAUUGGGGAAGGACAAUAUCUUUCUUUACAAGAUCAAUUAACUUAUCCCUUUGUUGCUUGUCCUCAAAUAAAUCAUUUGGCAUUACAAGCCUGGAGGAAAUGACCUUCUACACACAAAACUGAGGAUCUUUCAACAAUUAGACGGGGACCUGAUGAACCAUAUGCUGAUUUUGUAGAUAGGUUGUCACAGGCGGUGGGGAGACUCAUUGUGGACGGACUCACUGGUAUGAUUGUAGUUAAGCAACUUGCUUUUGAAAAUGCUAAUAAUGCGUGUCAGGCUGCGAUUCGACCUUGGAGAAAACGGGGAACAUUGGAGGAUUAUAUUCACCUUUGUGCAGACAUUGGGCCUACUUAUAUACAGGGUGCUGCUGUGGCUGCAGCAUUAACUAAAGUGGGGUUUAAAAACAAUCAAAAGAAAACAAAGACUUGUUUUAAAUGCGGAAAGGCAGGUCAUUUUGCUAGAGAAUGUAGAUCUUUUAAUUCUAACCCUAGUCCUUCCUUCCCUACUCAGAAACCUCCAGAUGGUCAGAAAAUCCCUGGUUUAUGCCCUAAAUGCAAUAGGGGAAAACAUUGGGCACAGAUUCUUGCUCAGUGGCCCACAAGGAUGGGCCACCACUGUCGGGAAACUCCUCCCGGGGCCUUCCCCGGCCCCAACAAAUAAUAAGGGUAAUGUCUGUGUAUCCUCCUCAAAUUAUCAAUCAGACAUUAACCAAAAACAAAAACAUACGAUAUCCUCGCUCUCCAGAGCAACACCAGGAAGCGCAGGACUGGAGCUCAGUACCUCCGCCCGAUAUGUAUUAACUCCUGAAAUGGGUCCUCAGGCCCUCUCUGCAGGCAUCUGUGGACCUUUACCCAAGGGUUUGAUGGGACUAUUAUUGGGAAGAAGUAGUGUCACCAUGAAAGGUUUAACUGUUAUGCCAGGAGUCAUGGUUUCUGACUACGAAGGAGAAAUAAAAGUCAUGGCACAAACUAUUAAAAAUAUAAUAACUAUUUCUCCUGGUGAUCAAAUUGGACAAUUGCUACUUUUGCCCUUUGUACCUCAUGGACAAAGUUUACAACAUCAAAAGAGAGAAACAAAGGCUUUUGGAUCGUCUAAUGCUGCCUACUGGAUUCAGAAGAUAGGGAAAGAACGUCCAGAAAUGAAAUGAACCAUUAAUGGAAAGGUUUUUUCAGGCAACAGCCUGUUCCUCAUGUACCUUUGGUUUUUACGGAUGGUUCUUCUUCAGGAGUGGCUACUGUAAUCAUUGACGACGGAACAAACCUCAUUAAAGAAACUUCCUUGACUUCAGCUCAACGUGUUGAACUGUAUGCUGUCAUUAUGUCUUUUAAACAUUUGCCUUCUAUAUCUUUUAAUUUGUUUUCUGAUAGUAAAUAUCUUAUUAGCUUGUGAUUUCUUCUAGAGACUGCGAGCAUAGGACAUACUAAUGACCCUGAAUUAUCAUCCUCUUUUCGUUUGCUUCAACAGCUUAUUCGUUCCCAUGAUGGUCCUGUUGCAGGUCUGUAUAUCCGUGCUCAUUCUAACUUGCCUGGUCCAUUGACUAAACUUAAUGCGACUGCAGAUGUUUUAACUCGAUCUAAACGUGAUCUUUAUCCUGUACAUUUUCCUCCCAAGAAUAGAGUUGAAGUUACUCCUCCUCCUCAGUCUCUUUUCCCUAAAGCAGGACAUGUCCCAAUUUACCGUACUCCUCCUUUCCGUUCGUCAUGCUGUCAAGAAUGGCUAAUAUACUGCAUUCAUUAUCUUCAUACUCUUGAUACUCAUGGUCCAUGUCCUGGACACCCUCAUAUUAUGGUAAGUUAUGAUCAAACUGCUUCACAAGCAGCACAGCAGUUGCACGCUUUACACCGUCAGUCAGCGGCUACAUUACACACACAAUUUUCCCUUACUGGUGAAGCCGCCCCACAAAUUGUUAAGCAAUGCGCACAAUGCUUACCUCACCUUCCUGUUCCACAUUAUGUUGUUAAUCCUCGUGGAUUAUUACCUAGACAUUUAUGGCAAAUGGAUGUUACUCAUAUCCCGUCUUUUGGGAAAUUACAGUUUGUUCAUGUCACUAUCGAUACUUAUUCUGGUUUCCUCUGUGCUACAGCACAGACCGGAGAAGCUACUAAACAUGUUAUCACUCAUUUAUUACACUGUUUUGCUUUCAUGAACCUUCCCAAAAUUAUUAAAACAGAUAAUGG